CAGUAGCCACGGUAAUACGUAUGUCACAAGCGUUAUCCGGAUUUAUUGGGCGUAAAGCGCGUCUAGGUGGUUAUGUAAGUCUGAUGUGAAAAUGCAGGGCUCAACUCUGUAUUGCGUUGGAAACUGUGUAACUAGAGUACUGGAGAGGUAAGCGGAACUACAAGUGUAGAGGUGAAAUUCGUAGAUAUUUGUAGGAAUGCCGAUGGGGAAGCCAGCUUACUGGACAGAUACUGACGCUGAAGCGCGAAAGCGUGGGUAGCGAACAGGAUUAGAUACCCCCGUAGUCCCUGUCUCUUAUACC
rnacentral:rRNA from 1 species